rnacentral:lncRNA from 1 species
GUAUCGAUUCAAUAAACGGUUCUAGUGAAACUUAUCAAAAAUUAAAUAGAAGCAUAUGGUUCAGUGAUGCUAAUCCCACAAAUGUGCAUGGUGUUUGACAUGAAUAACAUUAAAAGUUAGACCAUAAAAUAUUUUCCAUCUCUCUCACUCACUGCAUACAAUUCUUGUAACAAAACCACCACUGAAACACACCAAACAUGAAAGAAGAAACGACAGAGUGGAGGAGAAGGGAGGAAACUAUCCGCAAAUAACAGUCUAAUCAGCCGCUUGAAAAUGGCCAAAAACUCAAACUUAAAUUUUGUUGAAUGCGACAAUGUCACAGCUCUGGACAUACUCGUUAAUUGGCUCAACUGUGAGUCUUUCUUCAAUGAGGUCGUCCACAGAUACAAGAUCAUCAAUAAUGGUCAACAUGAUCUGCAGCUUCUUGAUUCCGUAUCCAACAGCAACCAGCUUGGCUGUAACAAAUGCAAAAAACCACUUCAGUCACAUAGGAAUUGACUUUUUUUUUUUUAUUUUUUUUAUUUUUAUAAAAGGUAGAUUUACAUAUAUGCGUGAGAAAGAUUAAAAUUUCAAGUUUUUAACAUACAUGCUCCCCAGGUUAAACCGGGAAUUUCAACGGUGCGAACAGCCUCUUCCAGCUUCUUCAUGUCUGUCUCAUCAUCCCAUGGCUUAACAUCAAGCAGAAUGGAAGACUUGCCACCUGGAAAAAUAUCACUCAAUGAGUUUCAAACAGUGCAAGCAAUAUAAUAGAUUUAACAUAGACUUUAUGAGUUUGUCACAAGUCUCGAUAACUUUCAACCAUUUAACAAUAUUCCAACCUCACCAAAAUAACAUGAAAAAUUAAGAGGAUCAAACCAACUCAAUGAUCACUUUUCUCAAAACUAUGCUUAUGCUUAAUGUAAAAUAAUAAAAAUUUAUAGCCACUAGAAAGAGAGCUUACUCUCUUUCUUCUUUGCGGGCUUUUUAGAUGCCUCCCUUUCCUCUGCUGCCUUCUUAUCCUCCUCUGUUUCAUCACCAAAGAGGUCAAGAUCAUCAUCAUCUUCAGCAGCAGGUGCAGCCUGACAAAAAUAAAUUCCAAUGAUCAAAUUAGUUAGUAGAUCCUUCAGUGACUUCAAUACAACUGUAACAACAAUAACCUAAACUUCACAACAACUUGGGCAUGUGUAUAAUAUAAAGUCAAAGUUUUAGAAGUAUUUUUUCUACAAGAAAAAAGCACUAUCCUUUCAUAGUAACUAACUUAGCUAACAACUAUGUCACUUAGUAAACAUCACUAUCAGGUUCAACAAACACAGGAUGAGUUAUGUUCCAUCCUUAUAGUAUGUCAUGUCAAAAGUAAACUAUAGUAUUAUACAACUUAAGCCUCAAAAAAUACAAAAAACAAGAUAAAACGAUGCCUAAUUGCCUAUAAUAAACAUGCAAUGAUCUCAUUAAGAAAGGAGCUCUACAGUACUGGUUGUCCUUAAUACUACUCUAAAAAACCAUCCAUGUUGCUAUCUUGGCUAAAAGCAAUUUCAAUAAUAAAAUUGUUGGAAAUGUUUGAAACAAACUGACUUAACUUCUCAAAUAAAAAUAGAGUACUUUGGCAAUAAUGUUUCAAAUACAGUAAUAUGAAAGACGAGAAGUACUGUCCUUUUUCUUGUGGAUUAUUUAUUUCUUUGUAGUAUUGAUAAUGAAAAUUACAAAAUGUCUUCUAGGCAUACUAUAUUCGAAACAAAUUCUUAGACCAAUAAAUAAAAUCAAAGAUUCAAAAUAUGACAAAGGAGAAUACAAAACACUAGAGAGUUGGCAAUCAUAAUUAUUGUUUUUCACUUUUGGGCAUGGCUGGCAUAACUGCUUAACAUUUUUUAACCAUAUUUACAAUUGACAAUAACUUAAUAACUAUAUAAAGUCAAAGAUUUUAUGUAGUCCAAUUCUAGAAUGUUUGCAGAUUCUUCAACAUCAAUCUCCUAAUUAAUAGUAAUCUUUCAGUAACUGUACAUUACAUACACAGACAUAUAGAUAUUGUUACAAAAUCAAGAUAUCAAGUUCUACAUUCUCAAAAUAAAUUACUAGCUGUCUAGGUCUGUAUUAGCUUCUUGCUUAUUUUCACUUAAGAUGAAAAGAGUACAGGUUUAAAGGGAUCAUGAAGUUAGACAUAAGACAAAUUCAAAUGUGGAGUCUCAACAGAUCCCGAUUUCAAAAUAUGUUAAAAGUUAUAAAAAUCUCAAAAUCAUUGUGUAAGAUAAUUCAGAUUUUAUGAUUCCACUGUAUAUUACUAAAAAAAUGUACCCGGUUUUACUCUAAGAAAUACAUCAAAUAGAUAAACCAUACAACUAUACAGCACAUAACAGAAAUAAUAAACAUAUGAAGUAACACGAAAAAUUAAAACUGAGGGAGAUACAUACAGCUUUAGCAGGUGCUUCUGCAGCUGGAGCAACUUUUCCACUGAAUUUCACACCUUGAGCUUUUCCAGGGAAACUAAUCAUAAAAAAUUAAAAUCAAUUAAAAAGUCCAAAAAUUAGCAAAAUAAUAAUCAAAUCAAACAAAACCAAAUUCAUAUUUCAAUAUAGAAAUCAAUAAUUAAGGAAUAAAAUUGAAGAGAACAUAACAUACCUUGCAGCAAGAUGUGAAGAGACCACAUCGUACCAACCAGCAACAUUGGCAAAAGCAUCACUUGGUUUCUCAGAAACAUAUCCGUACACUUUGAUAUCAUCCUUUGUCAAUUGAUCCCUGAAUUUCCAUCACCCAAAUCUCAGGAACAGUAAAAAAAUAAUCUUAACAAUAAAAUAGAAAGAAUUUAACAGAAUCCAUAUAGAAAUUGAAAAACCCAAAUCUCAGAACAGUAAAAAAAACAAUAUUGUGAAUUUAAAUCAAUAAAAUAGAAGGAAUUUGAACAACCCAGCAUAUAAUUUGAAAAACCCAUAUCUCAGAAACAUUGAAAAAACGAUUUUUAUAAUUUGAAGGAAUAAAAAAGUAGAAAUUGAGAGGAUUUUAGGGUUACCCAGAAAUAUAUUUUUUUCCAGAGAGGAAUUCAUUGAGGGAUUUGAGACCCUCUUCUGUGUGAAGAUCUGAGAAGGUAACAGCCAUUAGGGUUUGCGAUGAAUCGGUGGCGGAGAGUGAAGACGAAAAUAGAGUGUGUCG